UACGUAGGGGGCAAGCGUUGUCCGGAUUCAUUGGGCGUAAAGAGCGUGUAGGCGGCUAGAUAGGUCCGUUGUGAAAACUCGAGGCUCAACCUCGAGACGUCGAUGGAAACCAUCUGGCUAGAGUCCGGAAGAGGAGAGUGGAAUUCCUGGUGUAGCGGUGAAAUGCGCAGAUAUCAGGAAGAACACCCGUGGCGAAGGCGGCUCUCUGGUACGUGACUGACGCUGAGACGCGAAAGCGUGGGGAGCGAACAGG
rnacentral:rRNA from 1 species